rnacentral:rRNA from 1 species
CCUACGGGUGGCUGCAGUGGGGAAUAUUGGACAAUGGGGGCAACCCUGAUCCAGCCAUGCCGCGUGUGUGAAGAAGGCCCUCGGGUUGUAAAGCACUUUCAGUGAGGAAGAACGCCUGGUGGUUAAUACCCAUCAGGAAAGACAUCACUCACAGAAGAAGCACCGGCUAACUCCGUGCCAGCAGCCGCGGUAAUACGGAGGGUGCGAGCGUUAAUCGGAAUUACUGGGCGUAAAGCGCGCGUAGGUGGCUUGAUAAGCCGGUUGUGAAAGCCCCGGGCUCAACCUGGGAACGGCAUCCGGAACUGUCAAGCUAGAGUGCAGGAGAGGAAGGUAGAAUUCCCGGUGUAGCGGUGAAAUGCGUAGAGAUCGGGAGGAAUACCAGUGGCGAAGGCGGCCUUCUGGACUGACACUGACACUGAGGUGCGAAAGCGUGGGUAGCAAACAGGAGUAGAUACCCCUGUAGUC